AGGAUGAACGCUGGCGGCGUGCCUAAUACAUGCAAGUCGAGCGAACAGAUGAGAAGCUUGCUUCUCUGAUGUUAGCGGCGGACGGGUGAGUAACACGUGGGUAACCUACCUAUAAGACUGGGAUAACUCCGGGAAACCGGGGCUAAUACCAGAUAAUACAUUGAACCGCAUGGUUCAAUGUUGAAAGACGGUUUCGGCUGUCACUUAUAGAUGGACCCGCGCCGUAUUAGCUAGUUGGUAAGGUAACGGCUUACCAAGGCAACGAUACGUAGCCGACCUGAGAGGGUGAUCGGCCACACUGGAACUGAGACACGGUCCAGACUCCUACGGGAGGCAGCAGUAGGGAAUCUUCCGCAAUGGGCGAAAGCCUGACGGAGCAACGCCGCGUGAGUGAUGAAGGUCUUAGGAUCGUAAAACUCUGUUGUUAGGGAAGAACAAAUUUGUUAGUAACUGAACAAGUCUUGACGGUACCUAACCAGAAAGCCACGGCUAACUACGUGCCAGCAGCCGCGGUAAUACGUAGGUGGCAAGCGUUAUCCGGAAUUAUUGGGCGUAAAGCGCGCGUAGGCGGUUUCUUAAGUCUGAUGUGAAAGCCCACGGCUCAACCGUGGAGGGUCAUUGGAAACUGGGGAACUUGAGUGCAGAAGAGGAGAGUGGAAUUCCAUGUGUAGCGGUGAAAUGCGCAGAGAUAUGGAGGAACACCAGUGGCGAAGGCGGCUCUCUGGUCUGUAACUGACGCUGAUGUGCGAAAGCGUGGGGAUCAAACAGAAGUAGAUACCCUGGUAGUCCACGCCGUAAACGAUGAGUGCUAAGUGUUAGGGGGUUUCCGCCCCUUAGUGCUGCAGCUAACGCAUUAAGCACUCCGCCCUGGGGAGUACGACCGCAAGGUUGAAACUCAAAGGAAUUGACGGGGACCCGCACAAGCGGUGGAGCAUGUGGUUUAAUUCGAAGCAACGCGAAGAACCUUACCAAAUCUUGACAUCCUUUGACCGCUCUAGAGAUAGAGUCUUCCCCUUCGGGGGACAAAGUGACAGGUGGUGCAUGGUUGUCGUCAGCUCGUGUCGUGAGAUGUUGGGUUAAGUCCCGCAACGAGCGCAACCCUUAAGCUUAGUUGCCAUCAUUAAGUUGGGCACUCUAGGUUGACUGCCGGUGACAAACCGGAGGAAGGUGGGGAUGACGUCAAAUCAUCAUGCCCCUUAUGAUUUGGGCUACACACGUGCUACAAUGGAUAAUACAAAGGGCAGCGAACCCGCGAGGUCAAGCAAAUCCCAUAAAAUUAUUCUCAGUUCGGAUUGUAGUCUGCAACUCGACUACAUGAAGCUGGAAUCGCUAGUAAUCGUAGAUCAGCAUGCUACGGUGAAUACGUUCCCGGGUCUUGUACACACCGCCCGUCACACCACGAGAGUUUGUAACACCCGAAGCCGGUGGAGUAACCUUUUAUUAGGAGCUAGCCGUCGAAGGUGGGACA
rnacentral:rRNA from 1 species